AUUGAACGCUGGCGGCGUGCCUAACACAUGCAAGUCGAGCGGUAACAGGUGUAGCAAUACAUGCUGACGAGCGGCGGACGGGUGAGUAACGCUUGGGAAUCUGCCUAUUAGUGGGGGACAACCCGGGGAAACUCGGGCUAAUACCGCAUACGCACUACGGUGGAAAGCCGGGGACCGCAAGGCCUGGCGCUAACAGAUGAGCCCAAGUCGGAUUAGCUAGUUGGUAGGGUAACGGCCUACCAAGGCGACGAUCCGUAACUGGUCUGAGAGGACGACCAGUCACACCGGAACUGAGACACGGUCCGGACUCCUACGGGAGGCAGC
rnacentral:rRNA from 1 species